rnacentral:rRNA from 1 species
UACGGAGGGUGCAAGCGUUGCUCGGAUUUAUUGGGCGUAAAGGGUAGGUAGGUGGUCUUAUUUGUCUGGGGUGAAAGCCUUGAGCUUAACUCAAGAAGUGCCCCAGAAACGGUGAGACUAGAGUUCUAGAGAGGGUCGUGGAAUUCCCGGUGUAGCGGUGAAAUGCGUAGAGAUCGGGAGGAACACCAGAGGCGAAGGCGGCGACCUGGAUAGAUACUGACACUCAACUACGAAAGCGUGGGGAGCAAACAGG